AUGGCCUCAUUCAUCGAGCACACCAAGCAUACGCCCACCAUCAGCGAGCGCAGCGUCCGGUUCAUGUCCCGGCUGCUGGCGCGCUCGGGGCUCGGGGAGCAGACCUGCCUGCCGGAGGCGCACCACUGCGUCCCGACGCACGAGUACUGCACCCUCGACAACGCCCGCGCCGAGUUCGAGCUCGUCGUCUUCUCGGCGAUCGACGACCUGCUCGCCAAGACCGGCGUCACCCCAGACGCGAUCGGCGUGCUCGUCCUCAACUGCAGCCUCUUCUGCCCCACGCCGUCGUUGGUCGACAUCAUCGUGAACAAGUAG
rnacentral:rRNA from 1 species